rnacentral:ncRNA from 1 species
UAGUAAUAAAAGCAAACCUAUCGAAGGAUGGGGACACAAGGCUACAGGGGUUUCAGCGAAUGAGACUCGCUAUGCCAGCCAGCUACCAAG